AGAGUUUUUUCUAGCAUCUUAAAAAAAAUCUCUUCCAUUUGGUUACAUGGAAACUAAAAGGGAUUUUUUAGUCUAUUCUCUAUAAACAAACAGGGCCUAAGAUUACAAGUCAGAACGACUUGAGAUUCACAGUGCGUAGUGAGUACUUACUUUAGAGUUGACAGACUCGAGUAGCUGCUCACACAGGCACAGUCACAGUCACAGUCACACUGGACACUGAGCAUCAGUUCACACUUAACUUUGGACUCGAGCUAAAGUCGUCGUCUCAUCACCCCCGUUGAACUGCUAGCCAGCAACUUUUGCACACCUACUGUCAAGUCGCCGCGCGACCCUUUCUCUGGUCUCCCAUCCCAUGCGCUUUCAUCUUCUGCUCGACAGCGGUCUAGACGCCGGUAUAAAUAGACAACCGUUGGAGCCUGGAGGGCACCAAACCCACAACCUCUUCUGCUCGUUACCCAGUUAUAGCCAGCUUUUUCCUGGCAUUGAUCUCAGUCGUGCAUUUCAGGCUUUCAACGGAGAAGAAGGAUGCCUGACCACAACGGGGUGAAGAAGGGCAUGUGGGACUUCCUCUGCGGCUGCUUCUCCUCCCCCGGCACCAGCGAUUAGUUGAGAUGAUCUGUGGAUUGAGCUGCGCGCCGUUUAGUAGGUACUGAUGGACGUGUCGUGUUUGUCUGUGUGAUGUAGAAGUACGUUGUUAGCUUAACUGACCCUCAGUCAGGUAGCUAGGCAUGGUUUUUGCUGAUGAUUCAUCCGUGUGCUCUCCAGUCGAUUGGUACUCUUGUUUGUAGCCUUGUAGCCUUGCAGGUCAGGUCAGCAUCGUCGUGUGUUGUUUAGCUAGGUUCUUCUGAUCAUCUUCUGUUUGGGUCGUGUAAUAACUCGCUCUUUUUCCGGCAAGCAUGUAUCAGUUCAUCUCGGUCCAUUCCAAGAUAUAAUAAAACAUGUUGCUGUAUGUAUUUGCUUCGUUACGCGUGCUAGUAGAGCAUUGCCGCUCUGUAUGUGUCCAUGACUGGACCAUGUUCAUGUUAACUGACUGGACACAAAAUGACCGGCAGGCGGUGACCGUCAGCCACAC
rnacentral:lncRNA from 1 species